rnacentral:rRNA from 1 species
CCUACGGGAGGCAGCAGUGAGGGAUAUUGGUCAAUGGGGGAAACCCUGAACCAGCAACGCCGCGUGAGGGAAGACGGUUUUCGGAUUGUAAACCUCUGUCCUCUGUGAAGAUAAUGACGGUAGCAGAGGAGGAAGCUCCGGCUAACUACGUGCCAGCAGCCGCGGUAAUACGGAGGAUCCGAGCGUUAUCCGGAUUUACUGGGUGUAAAGGGAGCGUAGACGGCAGUGCAAGUCCGGAGUGAAAGCCCGGGGCUCAACCCUGGGACUGCUCUGGAAACUGUAAAGCUGGAGUGCGGGAGGGGCAGGCGGAAUUCCUGGUGUAGCGGUGAAAUGCGUAGAUAUCAGGAGGAACACCGGCGGCGAAGGCGGCCUGCUGGACCGUAACUGACGUUGAGGCUCGAAAGCGUGGGGAGCAAACAGGAUUAGAUACCCCAGUAGUC